ACGGGACCUUAGCUGGGGACUUCGUGCCCAGAGAAAUGAGCUAGUCUGUGUUUGCACUGUUUUGCUGACCUAACUGGUGGGCUUGUGUCAGUGAUGGAAAUGACCUGAGAGAGGCACCUUCAGUCCUCUCAGCAGGUGACACAGGAUGGUCACUCCAGUCCGAGCAGUGAUAGCACUGAUAUAAGACGGUCUUCCAGAUCUGAACCCGAUCCUGUGAGACAACAGUGUGUGACUGCUUCAAAACCACACCAGAGAGAGUUCACACCUUCCACCAGUGCUGAGUGGACAAAGUUUCUGACCCAGGACCCUUGGACGAUGUCUUCAGCAGUUCCCACUGACUUCCCGAAGCGUGUGUCUCUGUAUCUGUGCAUCUCUCUGACCUUGCGGUCCUCCGGUCCCACUGAAGGAGGCCACUGGCGCAUCGGUGCCGCCCUUGGACUUGAGGUGGGCAGCUCUGGUCUGUGUCGGCAUCCUGGGAGCUGUGGGUCAGAGGAGCGGUUCUGUCCAUGGUGACCUUGCUUCAUCAAGCCGUGGCCAGGCACGUGGGAGUAGUCGUGGCGGAGGGGGAGGGGAAAGACACUUGGUUCAGCUCUUCAUGGAGCGCUUUCGUGUGAACCGAACGGUCUCCUCUCCUUUGCACUAAAAAUGUA